CAAGAUAUCCAAUUUCCGAAGUCGAAGACAAAGUCGAUUUCACACUAAAUGUAGCCGGCAUAAAAGCUAAGCUUUUAUAAGCUUUAUCGCAAGUCGGCUCGAAUCCUAGUUGGUUCACGACAUUUAUCAAUAGCGCCUAAUGCUGUUUCGUGCACGUUGGUUAUCGUAUUUUCUAGGCUCUAGUUCACAUAUUAAACCGUUCUUUGAAGCUUCUGCGUUUCACCGUUUGUUUACCAACGCCAGGCGGGUGAAAUGGAGAAGGGAAGGUCGUCUAACUCCUUAGUCCUUACGUACAGCGUCCUUGCUGUCCAAGAAAUUAAUAUCGCUUUUAUUCGACGGGACUUUGAAGUAAAGAACACAUUUGUAUUGCACAAUGCCCGCCAUGGAACAUUUUAAUGUCUUUAAUAAGCGCCAAAUGAAAAUUUACAUUCACGCACGCUUCAGAAAUUUGAAUAAAUUGAAGUUAAUUUACCCAAAACGUAAAACGGAUAUGACGUAGGCCGGGCAAGCUUUUCUUCGUUUAUUCGUAGACCCCUCACGAAACGUGUUUCUGCUGGGGUCUACACCGUAGGCUAUCAAACUUAUAAAUCGUUGACAUUUGAAAGCGUGAUAUUGAGCUAUACUGAUCUUACCAAUUAUACACUGGAGCACUACAUUUCUUUAUUUUAGGUUUUCGAGCAAAGAUUUUUUAUUUCACUCCAUCUCGAACUUCAGGAACAUUUGAGAAGGGUUCAAUGUUGGGGACAUCGCGUGCACUUCCUUCUGCAGGAAUCACACAACAUCUACAUUUACAACUUUAUAAAAAUGGCGUGAUUGUCAAUCCAGAAGAAUAUUUGUGAUAAUUGUCGUGUUCAGGGCAGUAAGGUGUUUUCUACUGAUGUUACUCGAGCAGAGCUUACCCGGUGUCCCAGACACUCAUUUAGUUCCAAUAAUUUAAUGUUUGUAUUCAAUAUUCUCAUCAUAUUACAUGUACUUCAGGAUAUAUUUGCAAAAAGUAAAAGUUUUACACCAAAAAACCUUGAAUUGUUUGCCUAGAAUCUAGAUAACCGUCUCUGCUGGAAACCUGUUUAUUAGAUUGGUAAUUCAUAAAAUAUAAACCAUGCAAAAUUGUGGUAGUAACUUUCGAAUCGUCGUUGACCUUUACUUUUCGUCGAAAAACAGUUAAGGGGGUAGGCGGGU